rnacentral:lncRNA from 1 species
CCCAUGAGGUCAUUCUGGCAGCUGAGAAUGGCUGAAAUAGAAGUGAGCUUAGAAGAUGCAAUCUCCUUCCAGCCAGCCGUUCUCUGCUGUACCACUGGGAGAUUCUGUAAGACACAGGGAAUUCCCUCAUGGUCAAGUCACAGGUGCUCUGACCGCCAAUAAAGUUGGGUGGGAAAGAUGGAGAUGGGAGAGUGAUUUGAAAGCAGAACACAUAAAGACUCAAAAGAGUAAUGUAUAUCUGAUAUGUGCCUUGGAAGACUAAAGAUAUUUAAAGAUGUUCAGGUUAAAGGUUGAAAGAUGUACAUUAAAUGGAAGUGUUAAAUUCCCUAAAGUGUGUGGAAAAUGAAACUGUUACUCUGUGUUCACAGGUAAUUUAAAUUGAAAAAAGGAAUAUUCUAGAGGCACCGUUUUACUGCAUGAUCAUAAAGAUUUCUUUCUGUUACUCAUGUUGGAAUGUCAUUUUUACUAAUUAAAAAAAAAAAAAAAAACAACAGGGAGAUGCAAGCUUCCAACUUCUCUGUGUGACUGUCUUCAAUCUAUCUUAAUGUAAUUUCUAGAAAAUACUAGGUUAAAACAAAGCUUUGUUAUUGACUGCAGGUAAAUUCCUUUUUAUAAAGGAAACUUACAUGUACACCUUGAUGGUGUGUUUCAAGACUCUGAGUAUAAAAAUGUCUCCAUUUUUAAAGGUCAGCCCUUGUCAAGCCAUCUCAAACUGAACACCUCUUCCUUUUCCUGACUAUCGGCUGGUCUAGUAAAAUAAUUCACUUUCCCUUACAAACUGGUUUAUAAUUUUAAAUUUUGCUUGAUAAAAUAUGUUAAAGUGAAAGAUACAUCAUGUCAGGAGCUGAAUUCUGAAAAAACACCUAGUCAGGUGCAAGAAAAUACCGCACUAAUUUUCAGUUUCUCUGAAUUCAGCCUGGUGAGUCUCACCCAGGACAACCUGCAGAGCUGGCGAGCAGGAAUCUGGAAUAGCAGCAGCAGCCCUGGGUGUUGGCUCUCUGCUCUGUGGCACCAUAGCAAUUUGGGAGUGGCUUUGUUUAAUUAAUAAUCAAAAUACGCCACUUGCUGCCUUUAGUUUUAUUAGGGAAAAGGACAGAGAGCAGCUGUGUCUGGUCACAGUAAUGAGGUUUAAGUGUUAUGGGAGAUUAGAGAGACCCUUUUCUGUUCAUGAAAAAUGGUAUUGUCUUCCUUUGUCUUUAUAUAUUUUAUGAAGGAUAUUAUUUUGUUCUGAACACAGUGGACAGGACAUCUUAAUGCAGCUCUCAGUUAGCAAAUACGAGACAUCUAAAAGUUAAUGCUAAAUUUAUUGUGCUGGUUAAACAAUAGCUUGCAGCUAAGUUAUCCAGAGAAUGUGACUGUAGUUUUUGCUAACAGGAAUUGAAUCGGAUAUAACAGUAAAUGCAAAUAAAAGCUCCACCCUGGAUUUUUUUUUUUUUUUU